AAUCAACGCUGGCGGCGUGCCUAACACGUGCAAGUCGAACGAGAAAGUGGCAGCAAUGCCAUGAGUACAGUGGCGCACGGGUGAGUAACACGUGACUAACCUACCCAGGAGUGGGGAAUAACUUCGGGAAACCGAGGCUAAUACCGCAUAACACCUACGGGUCAAAGGAGCAAUUCGCUUCUGGAGGGGGUCGCGGCCGAUUAGUUAGUUGGCAGGGUAAUGGCCUACCAAGACGAUGAUCGGUAUCCGGCCUGAGAGGGCGCACGGACACACUGGAACUGAAACACGGUCCAGACUCCUACGGGAGGCAGCAGUGGGAAUUUUGCGCAAUGGGGGAAACCCUGACGCAGCAACGCCGCGUGGA
rnacentral:rRNA from 1 species